AGGGCGCUAAAGGAACUGGCCCUGAAGUGACAAGCGGAUUCCCCCGCCAGCCGGAAGUCCGCGGUGGGCGUGUCGGGGGCGUGGUCUGCGCUUGGAGGCGGGGCCGCAGCGGCCAGCCCCUCCCCCAGGGCCCUCAGAGCCGGCGGCGGCGGCGACCGUUGGGCGUCAGCGGACUUGGCAGCGGGGACGUUGGCGGCAGCGGCCCCUCAGAGCCUGGAUCCUGGUGAGGCGCCGCCCCCGGUCGUGUGUGGCAGGUGACAGUCGCGGGCGCUGAGCAGGGACCAGACUCCGCUCGCGCUCCUCGUCCUGAACGCGCUGACUGACUGGAAGGUGUCGCCGCCCCGCGUGCCCCCCGAGGAGGAUGUGCAGAUCUGAGAUCACCAGAUGUCACCAUUGAAUGAAGACCCACGAUUCUUCAGUUACCUGGAACAUAUGCGGACUUGGUCUUCCUGCUCCUCAAGAUUCUGGGAAACCAUCCCACCUGCAUUCUAAAAGAACUAAAACAAUAUCCAGCCUUCUCUUAUCAGAUACCCUGGUUGUCGAUGGUUUACAGGAAUUUAUACACUGAGGCUGGACAGAUGGAAUGAACCUGUGAGCCCUCAAAUGAAAAUGAAUCUUUGCUGCUACACAGAAACAUUGGCCAUUCAUGCUCUACCUCUAGAGCGAAACAGACUUCUAGUUCCUCGAAGGACGAUAGGGGUUGGGCAGGCUGGGAAGAUCUGAAGAAGUCAAAUAGUAUUCAUCCAGUGGGUCCUGUGGUAUGUUAUGCUCUACGUUCUCUGGCUGCUCCCCGCAGAGCCUGGUGGCGUAGAGAGGACUAAUGAUUAAUCCAAGAGGGAUCAGAUAUCAUAGAGUCUUAUUUGGUUUUGAUGAAAGGCAUAGGGAGUGCUCAAGAAAGCACAGAGGCUGACCUAUUAAAGAGGGGAAAACUCCUCUAUUUUUUGUGGGACAGAGUGCAUUUGUCACAAGGGCAGGAUAUAGAAAGGACAGUAGGUGCUCAGUACAGUGUCCAAACGACAGGCUGAUGAGGAACGAGGCUGAAUUAUCUCUGUACCAUUCAGUUGUGACUCACAAUAUACAGAGUCAUGUAACAGUGGCUUUCCCUCUUUCAUUUAAGUUGCAUUGAAUUUUACGUGUAGUGGCCAAGUGCAUACAGCUUUUGGGGCACUCUAGUAUCCCAGAAAUCUCAUGCUAUCAAGGCCCGUUUCUCUCAAUAUUGUGGCGUGAUAUAAUAAUAUUUUUGUCUCCUUAAAUUUCUUGCUAUGAAAUUCAUGCAAAUGCUAGCACAUCUCACUCUGUAAACCACACAGAAGAGAACACGUGAGUGGAGAAAAUCCCUGUGACUUCUUAGUUCACCCAGGUCAACUGGCUAUGGGUUACAAAACUUGGGUAGUUAAUAAUGAGUGGGAACAAUACAAGUACCACAAUGAAACAGAAAACAUUAUGAAAAAGGGUAAUUGAUGGUUGGCAGAAUGGAUGAUAUAUAUUCAGCACUUUCUGCUUUUCCCUGAAUCUGAGGUCUGCAGAUGUCACCAUUGAAUUAACAGCCCACAGUUACUCAGUUGACUCUUGUCCUUUCCCCUCCUCCUGAUCAUUUUGGUUUUCUGCAAAUAAAUUAAGAGAAGGAUGGUUACAUUCAGCAGGCCCUCUUUCACAAAUGCCUGAUCCUGUGUCCAAUUCUAGCACAGGGACAUAAAUAUAUGCAAUGUAAUAACAGGCUGUUGUGAACGAAAUAUUCCAGGAAGUAUUAGGUAAGGCCUUGUAAGAAGUCACCAGUUGGCUCUCUUGAGCCAUUGGACAAAUCUGCCUGGUAUGAGAGGUCAUCAUCAGAGUAUCCUAUGUCCUGAGUCUGUGCAAAUGCUUAAACAUAUCCUUUUCUUCAGAAAUCCUAGGGAACUACCUACCAGCUUCCUAGAGGUUUGCCUCAAUAUUCAUGCUUUUUCUAUCUGAAAAGCUGUUAAUGGUUUAGCAGAACUAUACAUUGAGAUUAGACUGAUGAGUGGAAUCUACACACCGUCAAAUCAAAAGAAUCUUCAAUGCUGUAGAGAAACAGUGGCCAUUCAUCGGGUAGGGAAGUUCCAGUGCCCUGCCUUGUUCAGAGAAACAUACAAAGUAAGCCAGUGGCGCUUAUGCUCUGCUACUCAUAUGACUCCUGAGAUGAGAUAAGACAAGACAAAUCAAAGGAGAUAGACUCUGGGUUGAGAGAAGUGAACCAGGCUACUGUCAUCUCCAAAGAUAUAGCUAAUGCUGCCAACAUCCUUGGUCAGGCAUAAAAACUCAAGGGACAUUGCUCAAGGAUAAAAAUUAGAGCAUUGCAUGCAAGAUAAGAGAUUUACUCAAAAUUAGGAGGCCUGAAAGUCACCUUCUAUAACCAAGCUAUAGAGGUACAGGUGUCUGGCAGGACCCCCUUGGGUCCAGUGAGAGGCCAGUGGGACAAACAUGAUAGAGUUGUGGUCUUAGACUAAGAAUUGAGCAAAUUUCACUGAUUCAUGAACUGUCUUAUUUCAAAGUCAAUCCUAUAGCCUUUCCAACCAGUAUGUAAGUAUAGGGUCUGCCUACGGAGAUUAAAUCUCACCAUCUAGACAGGCUGUGGGGAACAAAGAAUAUGGAGGCUACCUAGGAGAUGAGUUGGAGUUUCAUCCCCAUUAGGAUGAUAGUGUUCACUGCCUACAUCCAGAGCAGAGCCAACUUCCUGUUCAUCAGAUGUCAGUUUACCAUCAUUGUAAGGCUGGUCCCAGUCAGACCCUUCUUAGCAAAUUGAAGAGGGCAAAGCACAUUCAUCCUGUGAGUCCUGCAGGACUUCUUUCUUUUCAAAUUUCUGCGGCUCCUUGCUAUGCCAGGUGGAAGAGGGUAACAGAAGAUUAAACUAAGAGGAUCAGACACCAUGGUGUCCUAGCUGGUUAUGAUGGCAGGUGUAGAAAGCGGCCACAGAAGCAAAGAGGCAGUCAGCUUGAGAGGAAAACACUAUUCUCCUACAUGAGGAGCAACGUGUGGCUGCCGAGGUUUAACAAAGAGUGAAAGAGGGAGGGGGAAAGAGAGGGCGAGAGCAGCAGAUGCUCAGGGCAUUGCCACAUCACCAGCCAAGGAUGGAGGUGGCUGAACGCUCCCUGUGGGCCACAGCCAUGACUCCCAGCCCACACAGAGGACUAAAACAGUGGCUUCAACCAUUUUGAGUACAUUGUACAGAAUUUUAUAGGCGGUGUUGAAGUGAAUAUAGCCCUUGCUGUGUUAUAGACUCUCAGAUACUCUGCUUUCAAGGACGGUUUUCUCAAUGCUUUGAUAUAAACUGAAUUUGUUUCAGUUUCUUCUCAUAUAUCCAAAUGUUGGCAACAUGCUGGCACCAAACAGGCACACAGUAGAUAUGCAGCCCACCCUGGUUUCAACCACAGAGGAGAGAACAGCUGAUUGCAGGAACCCCUGAGUUUGGUUAGUUCAUCUUGGGAAACUGACUCCAGGUUACCAACCUGAGAGGGAUUAAGAAAUGGAAACUCACACAGCUAUCACAAUGCCCUCAUUACUGUUCCUUCUGAGACCCUCUCCAUAUUCUGCCCACCCAUGACUGGCUCCUGAUGAUUCAGUGUUACCUGGGGGUGAGUGUUUCUUAUGCUUAUUCAUCUUCCUUGUCUUCAUGAUUUUCUGCAAAGAAAUUCAGAAACAUCCCGUUAGCUAUUUCCCACUUCACACUCUGCACACACCGUGGCUUCAAUGGCCAUAGAGACAUAAAUAUCUGUGUAUGAGUUAGUAUUGUACUGAAGUUCUAAAGCACUGACUUUAAGAACUGCCCUAGCAGGGAUUUCUGAUCCAUCAGGCAGUGUGUCUCUCAUCUGGCAGAUAAACAUCCUGGUACGCUCUGCCUGAAACUGGCAAAAAUUUAAAUUGUCUCUUGUUCUGCAUAUCACUGGAUACUUGUCCAGCACCCAUCUCAACUUCUACAGUUGUAUCCUGCACACUGCCACAAAUCCUGCCAUAGGCACACGCUCCACGUCCCUUUGUUACUGGGCACAAACAUAGGCUCUUUAGCUGCCAUACAAGAGGGGCCAAAUAAAAACUGGAACAACAGGCUUAUGGCAAGAAAAGGGUUUUUAUUUCGGGUGAUUGGCAUCAACCUGGAAGACGAGAGUGAGCCCUCAAAUUCAUCUCGUCUUCCCAAAAGAUGGGAGGCAAGGAGUUUUAAAGGUUGCAAGGAAUGCAGCUGCUUGUAGAGAGGGGGAGCCUGUCACCUUGCUGGUUGGCGCUUUCCCACCAGCCUGCCUUUGGCCUUGCGAGGUUGUUUGCAGGAAGGGGGAUGAGGAGAUAAGAGAAUCUGCAGGUGGCUGCCCUUGGUUGUCUGCUUCCGUGGUGGAUGGUGGAUUUUGGUGCCAGGAAGCCAGGCAGUAAGCAGGGAAAGGGGAUGAGUGCUUUGAUUUUACGCCCAUAUAUGCUGGGUUUAAUGGAGGGGAACCAAUAUCAGGGCUGGUAUCACCUUCGCUCUCACAUCGAAGCUCCUCCUUGCUCUAAGGAGAGAAAAAACAACCCUGUCCCAAUGCCUCCAUGGGGAUUUCAUAGGCCCUCCAGGUUGGCUUCUGAAUGUUAUUGAGGGGGAUUCUCUCUAGGGAAAGUUUCUAGUCUAACCAACUUUUCCACCUCUGAGUUCCACUAAAUCAAAUACCUUAUCCAACCCCACACAGGGAGGGGCUUUCUUUUUUCUGAAGUGUGGUUGUAAAUAUUCCCACAUCACAGCUACCAUCAACAGAUUAUCGGGUCCAUUUGUAGAUGAGAAAAAUAUCAAGGAAUAAAAAUCAAUCACUCGCCCACUUUAGUCAAGACAGCCAUCAGGCUGGAGCCUAGGAACUUUAGCCCAGGGCUCUUUGCCGUCUAACAAACUGCCUCCUGUCACCUCCUCCAUUCUGUGCUCUAACACUGGGUGAAUGCUGCCUCCUGCCCCAAAGGCCAUGGUCCCUCAGGGAGGAAGCAGACAUUUGGAACAUUAUGACCUCCACCCUGUGCAUUUCUCCUCUCUGUUCCCACCCAGCCAGUCCUGGUCCUGUCGUGGCCCCAAGUGUGAUGGGGAAACCAGGACAGCUGGUAAAAACAUUAUGAGUGGAGGUGUGAAGUCUCUUGUGAGCCAGGGAUCUUGGAGAGGCUCAGGGCAAUCAGGGCCUGUGGCCACCUUACCUGGGCUAAGCUUGCAGAUGAUGCUCUCUGCCUGCGUGUGUCCCUCAGCUAGUUGCUCUCUGAAGCUUAGACUCUGGUAUUUGUCAAGGUCAUUGUCGGUGAGGAGGUCCUUGAUAUGCUGAUUGAGUAGGACCCAGAUGUCUCUCCCUUCCUGUAAUCUCUGCCAUAACCAGAUCAGCUGUUGUUCCUGAUCUUUAAUUAGAAUAUUGUAUUCCCUAAGGUGGGAUAGUAGAGAAAAUUUAAGAGGGAGAAGUGAUGAGUGAUAGAUUCUAAAGAUUUUCAAAAAUAUUUCUGUGAGAAUUUCCCCAAAGAGCGCUUGAACCAGAAUUCUGGCACAAGUGUGGUGACCUGCCUGUGGCAGAGAGAGAGGAAAAGGUAAAACAAGGGCUCCCUCUGUAUCAGAGAGUGUUCCUGCAAGAUCCUUUGCCUUCCCAUUCAUUGUUUUCUUCUGUAAACCAAACCAGUGUCCUCCUAAACCUGCUUCAAAUAGAUAGCCCUCAGUCCCUCACUUCAGCCAUGUCCAUUUCCACGUAAAAAUACAAAAAGCAGAGUGCCAUACGAAGUGAACGAGUAAUUAAUUUAAAAGUAUUUUCUGUCCUGACUCUCUCAAUGUUCUUCUUGCUGCAUCACUGUUCUGUCAGCUUCUCUUCCCUUUGAGUGAACAUUUGCUUUCAGUUCUCUCAGUUAUACACUUAGGGGUGGAACUGAGGUCAUAUGUAUCUCUGUGUUUCACUUUUUCAGGAACUGCCAAACUAUUUUCCAAAGCAAAGCAAUGGCACCAUUUCAUACACCCACUAGCAAUGUUCAAGAAUUCCCAUUGCUCCACAACCUCCCCAACACAUGUUAUUGUCUUUUAUUUUUUUAAGUCAUACUUGCUGCUGUGAAGGGAUAUCUCAUUAUGCUGAGGAUUACAUUUUCCUUAUGACUAAUGAUAUUGAGCAUCUUUUCAGGUGUUCAUUGUUUCAUUUGUGCAUAUUGUUUAGAGAAAUGUCUAUAAACCAUUUUUAAAUUGGGUUCUCUUUUUCUUGCCUGGUUGUGAGAAUUCUUUAUGUAUUCUCGAUACCAGACCUUCAUCAGAUAUGCAGUUUGCAAAUAUUUCUCCCAUUCUCUGGGUGGUCUUUUCACUUCCUUGAUAGUGUUCUUUGCAACACAAAAGUUUUUAAUUUUGAUGAAUCCAGUUUUCCUAUUUAUUCUUGGGUUGCUUGUGCAUAUUUAAGAAAGCAGUCUAACCCAAAGUCUGGAAUAUUUACACCUAUGUAUUCCUGAAAAAGUUGCUUUUUGAAUGAGAGCUUUCCUGGGUUUGGGGGAGGGGGGCAUUUUUUAAUUCUCUCUCCUGUCCAUUGAUUGAUAUUUCUCUCAAUUGAUAUUCAUUGCCUGUUGCCCCCUCCUAUGGAGCGUCUAAUGGCCUGUAACAGAGAUCUGGGAAAUGGUAUCUAUUAACAUUCUGGCUUUGAUUCAGGUGAGAGUCCAGGUCAUGUGGUUGAGCUUGUCUUAACCCCACCAGUUUCACAAAUUGCUCAGGGACUUUUGACCUAUCGUUUUAUUGUGUUGAUCAUCUUAUCAGACUGCAUGUUAUAUAUGUAUAUUCUAGAGAAAAAUCCUUUGUUGGAGGCAAAAAUAGUAUGAUCCCCUAUACUGUUAUUUCUCUUUAGGUUUCCCUAAAGGUAUAUUUUUUGAAGAUAAAGAUGCAGAAAGAUAAAGAUAGAUUUAUUUUCAGGUCUUAAGAAAUCAUUCAUUGCCUACUUUAAGCUUGCAAAAAUAUUUUCCUGGGGAGUUUUAUAGUUCUAACUUUUACAUAUAUGUCUAUGAUCCAUUUUUAGUUAAAUUUUGGAUAAUGUGCAAGAAGGCUGAUAUUUUCUAAUAUGGAUAUCUACUUUUCCAUCACAUUUGCUGAAAAGAAUGAAUUUUGUCCACUGAAUUGCCUUGGAAACUCUGUUGAAAAUCAAUUGACCGUAUGUGUAAGGGUCUAUUUCUGGCCUCCCUCUUCUCUUCCAUUGAUUUAUAUUUUUCCCUUUUGAACAAUACCCCAUGAUGUUGAUUUCUGUAACUGUAUAGUAAUUCUGUAAAUAGGUAGUCUCACUCAUUCACCUUUAUUCCUUUCUUAUAAAAGUUUUUACUAUACUUGAUCACUUACAUUUCCAUGUAAAUUGAAGAAUCAGUUUGUGACCUUCCACCAAAAUGCCUGCUGGGGUUUUGACUGGGGUUACAUUGGAUUUGUAGAUAAAUUUGAGGAGAACUGACAUUUAACCAUAUUGAUUCUACCAAUCCAUGACGAGGUUUAUCUCACCACUAAUUUAAUUUUUUAAAAAUUUCUCAAAGCGAUGUUUUGUUGUUUUUAGUGUAUUGGUCUUACACAUACACAUAUUUUGUUAAAUUUAUCCCUAAGCAUAUAAAGAUUUUAGAUGCUAUUUUAAAUGAAAUUGUAUUUUGUGUUUCAUUUUUCAAAUACUCAUUGCUAAUAUACAGAAAUAGCACAGGUUAUUUUUAUUGAUCUCAUAUUCUGCAACAUUGCCAAACUCAUUUAUUAGUUUUAGUGGAUAUUUUUGUAGAUUCCUUGGUAUUGUUUACAUACACAAUCAUGUCAGCUGUGAAUAAAGAUAGUUUCUAUUCUUUCCAAACUGUAUGCUUUUAUUUAUUUUUCUUGCUUUAUUGCACUGGUUAAGAUCUCCAGUAUAAUGCUGAAUUGAAGAAGUGACAGCCAGCUUUGCUUUUUCUCUGUCUUAACAGAAAAACAUUCAGUCUUUAACCAUUGAGAAUAACCUUACCAGUGUUUUUUUCAAGUAUACCUUUCAUUAGGUCAAAAGUGCUGACUUCUAUUUUUAUCACAUUGGAGUGUUUUGUUUUUGGUCAUGAAAAAGGUUUUUAGUUUUUUCAAAUGCUUUUUCUGAAUAUAUCAAGAUAAUCAUAUAGUUUUUCUCUUUUGUCCUGAUAAUAUGGUUGAUUUUUUAAAUAUAAAAUAUUUAUUGAAUUUCAGGCUAUGAAAGUUAUUUUUAAUGUUUUAAACUAUUUUGACAGCAAGAUUGAGAUAUAAUUUACAUGGAAUAAAGUGCAUGUAAUUAGAUGUACAACUUAAUAAGUUUGUUCAUAUAUAUACAUCCAUAAUCAAGAUAGUGAAUAUAUCGAUGAACUCCCAAAUUUCCCUGUGUUCCUAAUAAUUCCUUCUUCACAAUCCCAUCCCAGAAAACCACUCAUUGGUUUUCUGUCACAAAAGAUUAAUUUGCAUUUUCUAAGGUUUGAUAUAAAUGGAAUCAUAUACUAUGUGCAUUAUUUUGUUUUGACAUUUUUUACUCAGAAUAAUUAUUUUGAGGUUGACUCAUGUUGUUCUGUGUAUCCAGAAGUCGUAUCACUAAACUGAGCACUAUUUCAUGAGAUAAAUACUCCUCAAUUUGUUUUAUUCGUUCGCUUGUUGAUGGAUUUGUGUGGUCUUCUGGCAUUAAAAAUAAAGCUUCUAUCAACA